rnacentral:SRP_RNA from 1 species
GCCAGGCGCAGUGGCGCGUGCCUGUAGUCCUAGUUACUCGAGAGGCUGAGGCUGGAGAAUCCCUUGAGUUCAGGAGUUCUGGGCUGUAGUGCGCUAUACUGAUCCGGUGUCCACACUAAGUUCGGCAUCAAUAUGGUGACCUCCCGGGAGCGGGGCACCACCAGGUUGCCUAAGGAGGGGUGAACCGGCCCAGGUCGGAAAUGGAGCAGAUUAAAACUCCUGUGCUGAUCAGUAGUGGGAUUGCGCCUGUGAAUAGCCACUGCACUCCAGCCUGGGCAACAUAGUGAGACCCUACCUCU